rnacentral:rRNA from 1 species
GAUGAACGCUGGCGGAAUGCUUUACACAUGCAAGUCGAGCGGCAGCGCGGGGCAACCUGGCGGCGAGCGGCGAACGGGUGAGUAAUACAUCGGAACGUACCCAGUUGUGGGGGAUAGCCCGGCGAAAGCCGGAUUAAUACCGCAUACGACCUGAGGGUGAAAGGGGGGGAUCGCAAGACCUCUCGCAGUUGGAGCGGCCGAUGGCGGAUUAGCUAGUUGGUAGGGUAAAGGCCUACCAAGGCGACGGUCCGUAGCUGGUCUGAGAGGACGACCAGCCACACUGGAACUGAGACACGGUCCAGACUCCUACGGGAGGCAGCAGUGGGGAAUUUUGGACAAUGGGGGCAACCCUGAUCCAGCCAUUCCGCGUGAGUGAAGAAGGCCUUCGGUUGUAAGACUCUUUCGGUCAGGAACGAAACGGUAGGUCCGUAA